AUUGAACGCUGGCGGCAGGCCUAACACAUGCAAGUCGAGCGGUAGCACAGAGAGCUUGCUCUCGGGUGACGAGCGGCGGACGGGUGAGUAAUGUCUGGGAAACUGCCUGAUGGAGGGGGAUAACUACUGGAAACGGUAGCUAAUACCGCAUAACGUCGCAAGACCAAAGUGGGGGACCUUCGGGCCUCAUGCCAUCAGAUGUGCCCAGAUGGGAUUAGCUAGUAGGUGGGGUAAUGGCUCACCUAGGCGACGAUCCCUAGCUGGUCUGAGAGGAUGACCAGCCACACUGGAACUGAGGCACGGUCCAGACUCCUACGGGAGGCAGCAGUGGGGAAUAUUGCACAAUGGGCGCAAGCCUGAUGCAGCCAUGCCGCGUGUGUGAAGAAGGCCUU
rnacentral:rRNA from 1 species